CCUGUAUCUAGCCUGUAUCUACUACGCAACUUCCGCUAACUCGCUGCUGAGCAAAAUGGACGCCUUUGUGUCUGUUUUCCUCGUAUUCAUACUAUAAAUACUGUUUUCCCCGCGAUGCACCACCUUUGACAUGGCGAUGUUUACACGGUACCGUGAAAAAUGUAAGUGAAAAUCGUGCUGUGCCGCAAAUCAAAGUGCAUUCCUCGGUGAUCGACGAGAAAACGCAUCCAACCAAAUAGGCCAGAACACGGAUGACAAUUGAGUGAAUAUCUUUCACGACGAAAACUUUUUCGAACAAACUCGCACGAACGGGGUCGCUAUUUUGGUAGACGUGUAAAUAUCGACGAUUUAUACGCGUCGAACGACACGGGAAUCUUGGAUAUCGAUACACCUCCCGCCAAAAUUCCAUUCACUGCUUGUAUUCUGCAGUAUAAAUAAUCGUUGUACAUAACUAGCGGAAUUGUGUUCAUUUGGGAGGUUUCCAGCCUGUAGCAUCCUUCUUAAAGCCAUGUUAUCAUAUGUAUAAUGUUGGAUGGUAUAUACUCGACAACUGGAGGUCAAGAAAUUAAUUCUAAAAAUGGACCGUUUAUUGGAGGAUCCACGUGCUUCAUCAAAAUUUGGUUGAUAAUUUCUAGUGCAUCAUGGGAACUUAAAAGAGACAUUGUUAAGUUCCCAAUAUAUGCCUUAGUGGUAGUGUUCUUUAAUAAGCGUUAGAUACAAUUCUGUUCAUCAGUGAAAUAUAUCCUAUAUUCGGAAUGCCUUGAAAAUACGAGUGUAGAGAUUUUAACAAUGAUUUCUUUAAGCAUUCGUGGUAACAGUGCAUUUAGAUAUGUUCUGUUGAUUUAUAUUUAUCAUAUACUGUGAAUAAGACUUUUUAUAAUAUGUCAGUGCAGUGUUUGUUACGUUGGAUAAUUCUAUGAACCUCAGAGUACAUGUAAGGACACUGGACCUAAUUUUAAUAAUAUUUUUUGUCCAGGCUGUAAUGCCAGAACAAGUCAAAUUCAAGAUGAACGGGGUUAUACCGAGUGUGCCAAUCACAACUCUCGCUGGUAUUGCGAGUCUUACUGACUUGUUACCUGAAAUGCCCCUGCCAACACCGUUGCCUCAGACUUUAACUAACAAGUCCCUUUUAUUUCAUCCAAGAGUGGCAGAGGAAGCACAAAUAUUACUAAGUGUUCGAAAUGAAAACUUAGUGCCCCAAUUAAUACUAUCUUUAUCUCAAACCUCAUCUGAUCAUAUUGAACUAAAAGAUAAUUAUGCAAAUACAGAACAGCCUAUGGAAACCGAGCAAAAUACUCCUGAAUUACUUAAGGCAAUUUUGCAAAUAAAUCCACAUGUGUUUAAGGGGCCUCAAUAUAAUUCACCAAGAAAUUGGACCCAAGGCACACCUAUGAUGCACACCAAUCAAUCAUCCGCUAAUUAUGGACGAUUUUCACCAUCUUAUUCAAGUUCUUCAGGGUCAAGACAAACGCCUCAAGGUAGUCCAGCUCAUCCUGCUGCUGCUAGAACAGUACUACCACCGCCUACUGGUAUAAAUCCUCUACCUAAUAUGACCCCACAACCAAAUAUGUAUUCUCCGGCACAUAUGAGUUCUCCUGGUACGCCGCUAACAACUCUCGGUAACGUAACACCUCAACACCAUAAUAUGGCUGGUAUGACACCUCAACAUAAUAUGCAUAUGGCAUCUCCUAUGCGUGCUAAUAUACCUUUACAACAACAUCAACCUGUUAAUAUUCAGCAAAAUAUGUAUGAUCCUAUGAUGAAUCAACAAGUGCAUCAUCCAUUAGGAAAUCAUCAACCGAUGGAGAUGGAAAGUACAGUGCAAGAAAAUCAACAAUUUUUACUUGAUCCAGUAACAGGUCUUCCUGACAUCGAUAUACCGAUUGAAAAUAUCGAAGCGAAACAAAAUAUAGAUAAUGCGACGCAACAUCUUUUAUCUGCAACGCAAACCACAUCUUAUCCAAGUAUGGAUACCAGUCCUAUGAUCAAUCCGUUGAAUACUACGCCAACAACGAUGAUACAACACCAACAAAACAAUAAUUCAGAAAAAGGGAUGAAAAUGCCUGCCCCUUUGCCAGAGAAAUUAAAAGAACCGAUUGUCAUGUUAGAUAGAUUAUCUUUAGCGGAUCAAGCUUUAAUGCAGAAGAGUAUAGCCGCAUUUGCUGAAAAGUCUCCAAGUCGAGCUGCAAAAAUGGGGAUUUCUAAUCGCGAGGAUGUAAAGUCCGAGUCGGAAAGCGAGGAAGAAAUAGGUAAAAAUAACAAAUAUUUCAAAGCGCGUGCAAAAGAACGUCAAGUCCAAAGAGAAAAGGAAAAAGCUGAGAGGAAAAAAAGUGAAGACAAAAGUCGCAGACGAAGAAGGGUAUUGGAUGAUGAUGAGGAAGACGAUAAAAAGGAAGCUCUCACACCGUCGAAACCAAAAAUCAGAAAAAUUGAAAAGAAACUCGUUCCUGUUUUAGCUAAACUCAGUGUGGAAGAAUUAAUGGAAACCAAUACGUAUCAACGUUUUAACACAACUAUAGAAACGAUAUUCGAAAAUACAGAAGAUGUAGCAACCAAUGCUGAAUUAGAAGAUGAUGGUGAUGUGCCUCCAGAAUUGUUAAUUCCUAAAUAUCAAUUACAUGAUUUAUGUACAGAAGCAGCCAAGCUGAAGGCAUUAGGAGCAAUGGAAUCGAUUCCAGCAGAUAGAUUGGUUAGAUUAUUAAACAUUUUAGAGAAGAAUAUUCGGGACGGAGCUAAAGUAUCUCCGCUGGCGGAUCCGGAUGAUGACGUCGAUGAGAGUCGAUUAUGGACGCAAUUAGCUAUGGAAAGAGUACAGCGUGCAGUGGAUGCCUCUUUAAUUGCAUUACACAUUAUGACGUCCAGUAACAUGCCAAAAAUGGUCUACUUGGAAGACGUGAUCGACAGAAUAGUCCUUUUCAUGAAGUUUCAGUUACAAAAUACUAUUUAUCCUUCGUUUGAUCCAGUAUACAAAAUAGAUACAAAAAACAAGACUGACAAUUAUAAUUCUAGUGGUCGUAAGAAAAGGGGUCAUAUGAAAGAAGUACGAGAGAAAAGUAUCCUUCAGGUUUAUAAUAAAAUGCACGAAUUAGUUGGUCUUCUUGCUGAAUUAUUGAAUAUUCAAGUUCUAACAGACACUAGUGUUUUACAUGCCUCUACGUUAGGUGUCGCACCAUUUUUUGUUGAAUCUGUUAGCGAUCUUCAAUUGAGCGCUUUAAAACUGGUCACAGUAAUAUUCACUAAAUACGAGAAGCAUAGGAGAUUAUUGUUAGAUGAUAUUUUGGCAUCUAUAGCUCGACUUCCUAGUAGCAAAAGGAGCCUUAGGACAUACAGGUUAAAUUCUGAAGAUCACAUACAAAUGUUAACAGCCUUGGUUUUGCAGCUAAUCCAAUGUGUUGUUGUAUUAUCGGACAAUAUAAUUCCUCAACAGAAGAAAUCACAAGACGAAGAGGAGAAGAAAGAAGAGAAAAAGACCAGUUAUGUUGAUGCCGAUGUCUUAAUCAUAAAUAAAUACGAGACUGCUACGAGAAUAGCGGGAAAUUUUUUAACAGUGUUCUUGAACAAGUGCGGCAGCAAAGGUGAAGAAAUUGAUUACAGGCCACUGUUCGAGAAUUUCGUGCAAGAUUUAUUGGCCACGGUUAAUAAACCAGAAUGGCCAGCGGCUGAGUUGCUUCUCAGUUUACUUGGAAAUUUGUUAGUAGGUCAUUUUUCUAACAAAAGUUCUGAUAUGGCACUCAGAGUGGCCUCUAUCGACUACCUAGGUGUUGUAGCAGCCAGAUUAAGAAAAGAUGCAGUUAGUUCUCAAUGCAAACUGUCUACCAUCGAUCAGAUUAUUAAGGACAUCAAAAUCGAGCAGCAAAAAGAUUCUGAUUACGAUCAGGUAAAGGAUAAAGAAAUAAUAGGUUUGAACGAAGACGAGGAGCGGACGGUUUUUUUACAAAAGGUGCUCCUCGAUUAUUUAGCCGUGAAUGGAACCAAGGACUCCGCUUUAGGCUAUGCUCGCCAUUUUUAUUUGGCACAAUGGUACAGAGAUUGUGCCGUAGAAAAAUCUAGGGUCGGUCAAACGAAGAAUAGCCCAAGUAAGAAGAUGCACAAGAAAAAGAUAAAAAAGAAAAACAAACAUCACGCUAGCGAUCAGGAUUCGGAAUCAGAGCUGGAUGAACAGGAUGCAGACGAAAACGACAAUAACGAGCAGAAGAAUUCAGAAGCAUACAGAAUCAUAGAGGAGAAAAAGAAGUAUAUUAUAAGUAGAAUAAGACCGUACAGCACUGGCACGAAGCCGGAUAUACUUCAGACUUAUAUUGAUUAUAAUUCGGCGGAACUAAUAUCGCAAUAUCUCGCCUCAAAAAGGCCGUUUUCGCAGAGUUUCGAUCGGUACCUGAAACAGAUCCUGCACGUGCUUACAGAAUCGUCUAUCGCGAUCAGGACGAAGGCUAUGAAAUGCCUAACGAUGAUCGUUGAAGCGGAUCCGAGUGUGUUGGCGCGGGUAGAUAUGCAAUUGGGUGUGAAACAUUCGUUUUUAGAUCAUGCGACGUCGGUCCGCGAGGCGGCUGUUGAUCUAGUAGGAAAAUUUGUACUAAGUAGGCCCGAAUUAAUAGAUAAAUACUAUGAUAUGCUGUCGGCUAGAAUUCUAGAUACCGGCGUUAGCGUACGUAAGCGCGUGAUAAAAAUUCUAAAGGAUAUCUGUAUGGAGUGUCCUGACUUUCCUAAAAUUCCUGAAAUCUGCGUAAAGAUGAUCAGGCGGGUGAACGAUGAGGAAGGUAUUAGAAAAUUGGUAAUGGAAGUGUUUCAGAAUAUGUGGUUUACACCUGUCAGGGAACGCCCCACAUUGGAUUCCGAAUCGUUAUUGAGGAAAGUGAUGAACAUCACGGACGUUGUGGCAGCUAGUAAAGAUAUGGGUUUGGAAUGGUUCGAACAGCUGCUGGUUAGCUUGUUCAAGCCCAAAGAGGACAAAGACGAUAGUACAAAGAUGCAAACCGAGCCCCCAAAGGCAUUAUUGACGGCGUGCAAACAGAUUGUUGAUUGCUUGAUCGAGAACGUUCUUCGAUUGGAAGAGACGAAUCUGGAAGAAUCUGAGAAGACGGAGAAAAAGGGAUCCUCUCAAAGAUUAGUCGCUUGCUUGACAACUUUAUAUCUAUUUGCGAAAAUACGGCCACAAUUGCUAGUCAAUCACGCGAUUACGUUACAGCCUUAUCUAAGCUUGAAAUGUCAAACUCAGGGUGAUUAUCAGAUCAUCAGUAGUGUAGCACACACUUUGGAAUUAGUCGUACCAUUGAUGGAACAUCCUAGUGAGACUUUUUUAGCACAGCUGGAAGAAGAUUCGGUAAAAUUGAUCCUGCAACACGAUAGAUCGGUGGUGGCUAGCUGUUUAUCCUGUUUAGGCUCUAUAGUGAACAACGUGACCAGGAAUUUUAAAUUAAUACGAGACUGUUUUAAAAAAUAUUAUGGACAUCUGACUGAGUACAAAUCCUUUUACGAGAAAGAUCCUACGAAUCCUAUGCUUUUAAAAUAUCGACCAUUUGUCAGGAGAGCGUUGUUCACUGUUGGCUUAUUGCUGCGACACUUCAAUUUUACCGACCCAGAAGUAAUCGAGGGACUAGCAGAGAAUAUAAAGGAUCAAGUAUUUGAAACGUUGAACUAUUUCGUACAUCUGGACAACGACGAUAUUCGACAUUUUACUUUAUCUGCUAUUGGAUCUUUAUGUAUUCGUCAUUAUGAAUUCAUGUUACUUCCUGAGUUAAAAGAAUUGUAUCAUCAUUUGCUUACGUCAGAGAAUGCCUUGGUUCAUAUGAGGAUUCAAGUAUUGAACAAUAUCGAGGUAUACUUGUUGGAAGAGGACAAGAGAAUGAUCAAACAGGAUAUGGAAUGGGCGAAAAUGUCCAAACAAGAAAACUUAAAAGAAAUGGGAGAUGUUUCAUCAGGAAUGGCUAGUACUGUGAUUCAAUUAUAUGUGAAAGAAAUUUUAGAAUCUUUUUUGCAUGCAAACAUCAGUGUACGUCACGCAGCAUUGAAAGUGAUCCAAUUGAUUCUAGCUCAAGGUUUGGUCCAUCCGGUUCAAAUAGUUCCCUAUCUGAUCUGCAUGAGCACAGACUGCGAAAAAGUAGUCAGUCAUAGCGCGGAUAAGCAACUUCAAGACAUCGAGAAGAAGUAUCCUGGCUUUAUUCAUAUGAAAUCCCAAUUAGGUAUCAAGCUUAGCUAUCGGUUGCAGAAAAUUUUACAAACUGAUAUCACAGUGAGAGGAAUGAGGGUCAAAGAUGGCGAAUUUCCUGGUGCGUUAAAUGGUUUCCUUUAUACUAUCUUGAGGAACACGAAACAACAAAGAAGAGCCAUAGUAUUGUCUUUCUUAAAACAAUUUGACGAGUCUGCGAAAACUAGUUUAUCACAGAUGCUCUACUUGGCUGACAAUCUCGCUUACUUUACAUAUCAAGUGCAAGACGAGCCAUUGUUUAUCAUUCAUCAUAUUGAUAUUAUUAUUUCCAUGUCCGGUACGAAUCUUGUGCAGUCAUUUAAGGAGGCAUUACUACCAAAAGAAGGGAAUAGUCAACCACAGCAGCAUCAUCAUCAUUAUCAACAGCAGCAGCAGCAACAACAACAACAACUACAUCAACAACAACAUCAACAACAACAACAGCAACAAUACCAUCAGCAACAUCAUCAACAAAUUCAUACUCCUAUGGGACCGGAUGGACAGCCACGACCAGAGCAAUUAUUGUCAGUAUUGGAAGAUGAAGAGGAUGAUGAAGAAGAUGAGGAAUCGUUACUGGCAAGGUUACCAGGAGAUACUACGUUGCUUAGGGAUUAUAUCACCGCCAGCCAAGGUUUUUUGUUGCUGCUCACUUUAAGACAGCACUUGAAAGAUCUGUACGGUUUCUCUGACCAAAAAAUUGGCCAGUACUCGCCGACAGAGGCAGCGAAGGUGUACGAGAAAGCUGUGAACCGUAAGAGUAACUUGCUGUUCAAACCAAAGGCUACCCUGCAGAGAUUAAGGGAAGGCGUAAGUAAUGUCGAACUUGAUGCUGAGGGCAGGAAAAAAUUAGUGAAGGAGUAUUUGGACUUCAAACAAUUGAUGUUAAAGUUUGAUCUGGAAGAGCCUGAGGAAGAUGGAAACGAGGGUGACACGAGUGGCGGAGGUAGCAAACAAUCGAUAGAUGUUUCUAACAAAAUGUCUGAACCGGACAAUAAAAUGGAAAUCACUGUGACGAGCAAUCCCCAGAUGGUAAAUCAAUAUCAAGCCAAUAUGAACUCGUCUAUUGAGCAUCCGAACAAUUCGAUAAACUCGAUGCCCACUGGUGGUUCCAUUCCGGUCACCAUGCCUGUCCACAGAUCACCGCCAGUUGCUAUGAACGCGGCGCCAGCAUCGCAAAUUGCAUCACCACGUGUGCCCAAGCUGACGAUACACGCGCAUCAUCCAGAGGGAGUGAAGGAACAUCGUAAACACCGGGCGCAUAAAACGGAAAAAGUGAAAAAACAUAAGAAGAAGAAGAGGAGAAGAAUUUCCGAUAGUAGCGAGAGCGGCGAGGACUACAGUGAUCCUGACUUUUUAGUGUGAGUGCAGUGGUGUAUCUCUGCGUCCGUUGUGUACAUAUUACAUACUAAUUACAAGAAUUAUAAUAAUAAUAUGAUAAUUGACGCGUGUUUCGCGUGGUUGAUGUGCGUGCUGGUAUGCGUGCGACGUUUUCUUGGUGCGUUUUGUGUCGCUCGUAAGUGAGAAGGCGUUCCGUUUUCUCUUCUGUUUUUCUUUUUUUGCGCAACGAAAUUGGAACAGAAGGAAGAGAAAGAAAUAUGACACUAUAAUAGAAUAUAUGACACUGAUGUUAUAGAGAAUACCAGUGCCGGACGCUCUGAAAUCGCGACGGACUUCAUCGAUCAUGGAAAUGGACUAAAAUUUUUAGCGAAACUAAACAAAAAAAAAAAAAAAGGAAAAGUUAUAUGAAUAAAAGCGAUACUGAUGUACAGAGGAUGGUGGUGCUCUGUGGGAAUGCGUGCGAUUUUGUUUGCGAUAAUUUGAUUGGGAGGGAAUGAGAGAGAGAGAGAAAGAGAGAGAGAGAGAGGAGAGAGAGAGAGAAUGGAAACGCAUAGAAGAGUGGAUCCGUUUAGACUUGCUCCACAGUAAUGUAUAAUAAACAAGUGUAGUUAAAAGAGAUUAAAACAAGAAAAAAGAAACAAAAUGAAAGAAAACAGAAACACAUUGCCUAUGCAUUAUGAGAGAGAGGAGAGAGGAGAGAGAGAAGAAAACAAAAAAAAACGUUGUUUGUAAUAUCUGUACAUACAUAAAUUUCAAGUAAAGUAUCUUAUUUUCUUACAAACUAUAUAGCGAUGACAUUACGAAAGAAUACUUAAAAUUUUGUUGUAAUAUUAAGUAUUUAUUCAGAAUUCAUGUUGUCCCAAUAUAGUUUGCUUUAUGCACACAACUCGUCUUUUGGUGUAAUUAAAAAAAAAAAAAAAAAAGAACUAUCGUUUUUAUACAAGCUUAGGAAUAAAUGAAAUAAAAACAAAAUAAAAAAGUGCAGAACGAAAAGAAAGAGGAAAAAUACGAGGAAGAAGGAUAAUUGAAUGAAUACAGAAAGAAAAGAAAUGCGAUCUAUUAAUUUUCGAUUUGGAGAAUGAACGAAAUUAUUAUGGGUGAGGAUAGGAUAGGAUAAGAUCAAGGAAGAAAGGCAGACGAGAAGGAAAAACCCGUGAAAAAAA